rnacentral:miRNA from 15 species
UCCGGGGCGGUUGGGGGGGUUGACAGAAGAGAGUGAGCACACGGCGGCGAUCGCAUCGGCGGGGUGCCAUCGCUGUUGCGUGCUCACCUCUCUCUCUGUCAUCCCGAUAUCUCCGGAU